rnacentral:rRNA from 1 species
AACGAACGCUGGCGGCAGGCCUAACACAUGCAAGUCGAGCGGACCCUUCGGGGUUAGCGGCGGACGGGGGAGUAACGCGUGGGAAUAUGCCCUUCUCUACGGAAUAGUCCUGGGAAACUGGGGGUAAUACCGUAUACGCACUUCGGGGGAAAGUUUUAUCGGGGAAGGAUUAGCCCGCGUUGGAUUAGGUAGUUGGUGGGGUAAUGGCCUACCAAGACGACGAUCCAUAGCUGGUUUGAGAGGAUGAUCAGCCACACUGGGACUGAGACACGGCCCAGACUCCUACGUGAGGCAGCAGUUGGGAAUCUUAGACAAUGAGGGCAACCCUGAUCUGGCCAUGCCGCGUGAGUUAUGAAGGCCUUAGGGUUGUAAAGCUCUUUCAGCUGGGAAGAUAAUGACGGUACCAGCAGAAGAAGCCCCGGCUAACUCCGUG